CUAAAUCGGGAUUUUCUAAUAAAAAAAUCGUGAUAUGAUAUUAUUGCCAUAUCGCCCACCCCUACUGUCAGGGUACCUCUUGC